UGGUUCUGGCAUCGAUGAAGAACGCGGCCAGCUGCGAUACGUAGUGUGAAUUGCAGAAUUCAGUGAAUCAUCGAAUCUUUGAACGCACAUUGCGCCCUCCGGCACUCCGGAGGGCACGCCUGUCCGAGCGUCGUCACGUCCCUCCAGGGCCGCGCCUUUGGGCGCUGGGCCUGGGCCUUGGGUUACGCCCCCGCGUGGGCCGGCCCGCAAUCCCUCAACCAUCCCCGGGGUCGCCCGCGCGUUGCAGAAGCUGCACGUGGCGUGGGCGGUCCGUCCGGGCGGUGGCGUACCUUUGAGCGGGUCCCUCGGGGCCCCUCGCAGCACUCAUGACCUCGGAUCAGGCGGGGAUACCCGCUGA
rnacentral:misc_RNA from 1 species